GGCAUGCGGCAGCUACAAUGCAGUCGAGCGGUAGCACAGAGAGCUUGCUCUCGGGUGACGAGCGGCGGACGGGUGAGUAAUGUCUGGGAAACUGCCUGAUGGAGGGGGAUAACUACUGGAAACGGUAGCUAAUACCGCAUAACGUCGCAAGACCAAAGUGGGGGACCUUCGGGCCUCAUGCCAUCAGAUGUGCCCAGAUGGGAUUAGCUAGUAGGUGGGGUAACGGCUCACCUAGGCGACGAUCCCUAGCUGGUCUGAGAGGAUGACCAGCCACACUGGAACUGAGACACGGUCCAGACUCCUACGGGAGGCAGCAGUGGGGAAUAUUGCACAAUGGGCGCAAGCCUGAUGCAGCCAUGCCGCGUGUGUGAAGAAGGCCUUCGGGUUGUAAAGCACUUUCAGCGGGGAGGAAGGCGAUAAGGUUAAUAACCUUGUCGAUUGACGUUACCCGCAGAAGAAGCACCGGCUAACUCCGUGCCAGCAGCCGCGGUAAUACGGAGGGUGCAAGCGUUAAUCGGAAUUACUGGGCGUAAAGCGCACGCAGGCGGUCUGUCAAGUCGGAUGUGAAAUCCCCGGGCUCAACCUGGGAACUGCAUUCGAAACUGGCAGGCUAGAGUCUUGUAGAGGGGGGUAGAAUUCCAGGUGUAGCGGUGAAAUGCGUAGAGAUCUGGAGGAAUACCGGUGGCGAAGGCGGCCCCCUGGACAAAGACUGACGCUCAGGUGCGAAAGCGUGGGGAGCAAACAGGAUUAGAUACCCUGGUAGUCCACGCCGUAAACGAUGUCGAUUUGGAGGUUGUGCCCUUGAGGCGUGGCUUCCGGAGCUAACGCGUUAAAUCGACCGCCUGGGGAGUACGGCCGCAAGGUUAAAACUCAAAUGAAUUGACGGGGGCCCGCACAAGCGGUGGAGCAUGUGGUUUAAUUCGAUGCAACGCGAAGAACCUUACCUGGUCUUGACAUCCACAGAACUUAGCAGAGAUGGUUUGGUGCCUUCGGGAACUGUGAGACAGGUGCUGCAUGGCUGUCGUCAGCUCGUGUUGUGAAAUGUUGGGUUAAGUCCCGCAACGAGCGCAACCCUUAUCCUUUGUUGCCAGCGGUUCGGCCGGGAACUCAAAGGAGACUGCCAGUGAUAAACUGGAGGAAGGUGGGGAUGACGUCAAGUCAUCAUGGCCCUUACGACCAGGGCUACACACGUGCUACAAUGGCAUAUACAAAGAGAAGCGACCUCGCGAGAGCAAGCGGACCUCAUAAAGUAUGUCGUAGUCCGGAUUGGAGUCUGCAACUCGACUCCAUGAAGUCGGAAUCGCUAGUAAUCGUAGAUCAGAAUGCUACGGUGAAUACGUUCCCGGGCCUUGUACACACCGCCCGUCACACCAUGGGAGUGGGUUGCAAAAGAAGUAGGUAGCUUAACCUUCGGGAGGGCGCUACCACUUGAUCGGCG
rnacentral:rRNA from 1 species